rnacentral:rRNA from 1 species
UACGAAGGGGCUAGCGUUGCUCGGAAUCACUGGGCGUAAAGGGUGCGUAGGCGGUCUUUAAGUCAGGGUGAAAUCCUGGAGCUCAACUCCAGAACUGCCUUUGAUACUGAGGAUCUUGAGUUCGGGAGAGGUGAGUGGAACUGCGAGUGUAGAGGUGAAAUUCGUAGAUAUUCGCAAGAACACCAGUGGCGAAGGCGGCUCACUGGCCCGAUACUGACGCUGAGGCACGAAAGCGUGGGAGCAACAGGAU